rnacentral:piRNA from 1 species
UAGUGCAUUCUCCUCGAGUGUGGGGU